GCCAGGCGUGGUAGCUCACGCCUGUAAUCCCAGCACUUUGGGAGGCUGAGGUGGGUGGAUCACCUGAGGUCAGGAGUUCAAGACCAGCCUGACCAACAUGGUGAAACCCCAUCUCUG
ensembl:misc_RNA Metazoa_SRP Metazoan signal recognition particle RNA